GAAGGCUUCUCACUGCUCUUACUCCUGAAACCCCAAGGGGGAGGGGCGACACGAGCAUCUCCCACCAUAGCUUGGAAAGCUCCGGAACACCACAAGGGACCAGGUGGGGACACGGGAGUGCAGGUGGCAGGGACCAGGUGGGGACACGGGAGUGCAGGUGGCAGGGACCAGGUGGGGACACGGGAGUGGAGGUGGCAGGGACCAGGUGGGGACACGGGAGUGCAGGUGGCAGGGACCAGGUGGGGACACGGGAGUGCAGGUGACAGGGACCAGGUGGGGACACGGGAGUGCAGGUGGCAGGGACCAGGUGGGGACACGGGAGUGGAGGUGGCAGGGACCAGGUGGGGACACGGGAGUGGAGGUGGCAGGGACCAGGUGGGGACACGGGAGUGGAGGUGGCAGGGACCAGGUGGGGACACGGGAGUGGAGGUGACAGGGACCAGGUGGGGACAUGGGGGUGGAGGUGGCAGGGACCAGGUGGGGACACGGGAGUGGAGGUGGCAGGGACCGGGUGGGGACAGCGGGAGUGGAGGUGACCAGCCCCGGCGAGCCGGCUCCUUCACGGCGGACUCGGAGAGGCGGCGGAGCCCGCUUCGGGGGGCGGGGAGGCCGCGGCGGCAGCCAG